rnacentral:rRNA from 1 species
UUGUUGGUGAGGUAACGGCUCACCAAGGCUACGACGGGUAGCUGGUCUGAGAGGAUGACCAGCCACACUGGAACUGAGACACGGUCCAGACUCCUACGGGAGGCAGCAGUGGGGAAUCUUGCGCAAUGGGCGAAAGCCUGACGCAGCGACGCCGCGUGGGUGACGAAGGCCUUCGGGUUGUAAAGCCCUGUGGGGAGGAACGAACCGUGCGGGGGCCAACACCCUCCGCACCUGACGGUACCUCUUUAGCAAGCAUCGGCUAACUCUGUGCCAGCAGCCGCGGUAAGACAGAGGAUGCGAACGUUGCUCGGAAUUACUGGGCGUAAAGCGCGCGUAGGUGGUCCCGUAAGUCGUGUGUGAAAUCCCUCUGCUCAACGGAGGAAGUGCACGGGAUACUGCGGGACUGGAGUACAGAAGAGGACAGCGGAAUUCCCGGUGUAGAGGUGAAAUUCGUAGAUAUCGGGAG